rnacentral:rRNA from 1 species
UACGGGGGGGGCAAGCGUUGUUCGGAAUUACUGGGCGUAAAGGGCUCGUAGGCGGCCAACUAAGUCAUACGUGAAAUCCCUCGGCUUAACCGGGGAACUGCCUGUCAAACUGCAUGGCUUGAGACCGGGAGAGGUGAGUGGAAUUCCCAGUGUAGCGGUGAAAUGCGUAGAUAUUGGGAGGAACACCAGUGGCGAAGGCGGCUCACUGGACCGGUACUGACGCUGAUGCGCGAAAGCGUGGGGAGCAAACAGG